rnacentral:lncRNA from 1 species
GUUGCCCACCUAACCUUUUGGAAACCAUAAGGAUGGUAUUCUUCCCCCCCACUCCCUUUUUAAUGACAGAAAGAGAAAGCCAAGUGUUGUCUUAUUUUACUAUCCUUUAUUAUUUAGACCAGGAGGCCUCCUCUACAAAACAAGGGGCCUGGUUCUCCAAAAAUAUGGUUCUGCAAAGAAAACGUUCCUACCUCGUAGACAUCAGUGAUGAUGAAAUCACACUGGCUUAGUAGUAAUAGUAGUAGCAGUAGUAGUAAUAUUUUUCCCAUCCUUUUUUGGUGUGUUUUAUCAGGUUUUAUUAUAAAAUAUGUCUGCUCCAUGAGUUUUAAACAUCUCCAAACACAAUAGGAAGGAGGUGGCAGCUGAGUCUAGCUGGACUGCCACCUUCACUGCUAGGAAAGAAGUUGUCUACAGUGUAGUCAUAUAUUUUUUUUCACCUUUUUUCUGUUUGCACACGCUAUGUUAGAUGGUUAUCAUCACAUGAAGAAGAGAUACCUGAACAAGAUACAGCUAAGAGCUCUAGAAUUAAAAAUGAAUACACAACUCUCCAAAUUCCAAUUGUACAAAAGAAACCGCUUCUGGUUUGGGGGAGUGGUGGUAGGCGAGGGGGCAGGAAAUACUUCACAGGGAGGCUGGCUGGAGCAAUGGCUCAGUUUGCCAAUGGUGGUAAUAAUACUUUGCGUGUCAGUAGUAGCACCUCUAAUCAAAGGCUAUCCUAGCACAGACUGAUGAACUUUCUGCCCCGUGACAUCAGCGGAGACUUCUUGUGCAAUGCCGCUUUAUUUAACACGUACAAGGCCCUGAUUUUGAAAGCCUCACACCAUCCCCUUGUGAGGUAGGGAAGCAUUAUUAUCACCAUUGUCCAGUAGGUGGGCAAACUGAGGCCAUGAGAAGUUUGCGUACUAACCCAGAAAGCUGCUCCAUGACAGAAAUAGAAAGAGAAUCCAACCAUCCCGGUGCUUUGUGUAUUUAUCUGUAUCUCUACACACAAACACACAUUGCUUCCCGUCAAUUUGUAUGGCUCCAGUUCUCUACCAAGCCACUCACCAAGCCACCCUGGUUGUCAGCCAAUCAGUGCCACCAUUGCUGCCGGUCAGCAAUGUGAAACGAGGUUACUUCUGUUUCCUGUUGUGUGCUACCAGGUUUAUCAAUCUUGAACUUGUCUGUUUUUUAAAAAAGUGAAGCCAAGAAUGUUUUAUGGUGAUUGAUUGGAUUUGACAAGAUUGUCCGGCACUUGAGAUGUCUUCCCUCACUGGCGAACUCUUUUGCAUAAAACGUGCACCUAUCAUCAGUUUACAUACAUCCUGAAGUCUCAUCGGCUAUCUACUGACGGCAGAAUUGAAGAGCAAGAAGUAACUCUGACGCCAUUGCAGCCAUUCAUUCCUGCCAGAUCCACAUGAGCCUUGAAAGUGAAGCUGCACAAUUCAUGGAAUGCAGGUAUGUUGACAAAAAAGGACCCUCUCCAUUUGCUGGUGAGAUGCCACAAUGUUCCUGGUUUUUCUCUGCUUUCCACCCACCAAUGAUGUGAAGGCUUAGUGAAAUGCACACAAUGACAUCCUAACACAGAGUAAAUACAUGAUACUGAAUGCUGCUGGGGAGAGGAGAAUGCUGCAUGUAGCUUUUUGUUCUACUUUGAGGCUGAUGUGGUAGAAAUGAACAGGUACCAGACUUCAAAGGUCACUCUUGCUCUUUAAUCCAAGAAGCUCACCUCACCUCAUGAUCAUUAACAAACAAAACAAGAACAAUAGUAAGAAAGGACCCUGCGAUGCCCGCUUUAUUGUCUCUGUUUUGGAUAUGAAAGUUAAUAAGCUUGUGGAGUUCUGGUAACUUCCUGGUGUUUACCUUGCAAGCAUGAGGUAAAACUAGAAAGGUAUCUGGUGGCUCCGCGGCUUUCCCAUUCUGGCUUGUGUUUGGAUAGGAGGGAAUAUAAUUUCACUGUAAACUUCAAUGUUAGGCUGGGGGCAGAGGCGAAAACAGGAUAUUGGCACAGGUGCUCAGUACAAGGCUAAAAUCUCUUUUUAAAAUAAUUCUAGUCUGCUAAUCAUAAAAAGCAUCAUAGGAGUUUAUGGAAAUAAAAGCAUCAGCGCCACCAAAGUAGUACAAUCAAAGCCAAUAUAAAAUCUGGCUUGUAGAGUAGGUGGGUGGGAAGCUUCUCCCAGUAUAAAAUUAUUUGGUUUCUGUGUGAUAGGCAUAAUGACAAUCUGGGAGAAGCCAGCGUUACUAGAAAACUGGACUCUUGCAUCAAAAUGGGGAACUAUUAGAUAUGUCCUUUCAGAUCCGUCACUGCUUAUAUCAGGCCUGCGCUGCCUGAGAUCCAGCAGGCCAAAUACCAGCAAUGGAUGCCACACCAGAUGCGCCAUACACCUGCUGGCUGCUUGGGACUGUAAAAGCAAAGUCAAGAGUUGGUCAGUGGGUUAUCUGACACAUCACCUUCAAGGCUACUGAGCUGUGUUCUGCUUGGCAAGUUAAAAGUUGUGCACAUCUAAUAUAGAAUUUUUUUCAACCCGUUUUUCAAGAACAAGGAGUGAAUUUCUCAGGAUUACUCAGCUGCCUAAAAUGCCAAGUAAGCGUUUGCUGAUAUGGAAAGCCAAUCAUCCAACCAUCUUAUCUGCUAUUAUGGUCAUUGUGUGACUUCCUCCCCCAUUAAUAAAACACUUGCCACCCAUAAUUGUCAGUGUCCUGUUUCCGCUGCUGCUUAUACUUUCCAGUGAUAAUCACAGUGCAGAAUCUAUAGUGUCACCAAGGAUCUGUAAUGUCAUGACGAACUAGAUAAUGAUGCUUGUGAGCUUCUCGUGAUGUGGAAGAUCCAAAUUCAGUUUGUUGUGAUUUAUACAGCCCUGCAAUUUGUGACUAUUUGGGGCAAGCCAAGUGUACAUGAAAACACCAGCAACUCCCAACUGCUUUGUGAAUUUUAGACUGGGACAUAGGAGGAUUUUGUUCCCGAUAAAAGCACUUUAGCACUUCAAUCCAAGAAAGGGAAUAAUGGUUUCUGAUUUUGAUGGCCUUUUUCUCACACUAAAUAAAAAAACACAAAAACUGAUGCCCUUUUGUGGAUCGCCUGUUAAAACCUUUACAAAAGACGGCAUCAAAAUUAAAUUGGGCACAAUUCACUAACAGUAGAAGAAGUCAUUAAUAAAUAAUAAACAUUAUUAUUAAUAAAUAGCUUGAUGGACUUAACAAUUAUUUUACUGCAGACUUAUUAGGAAGCAGCUGAGAAAAAGGUUCUCACAUUGUCUUGGAACAGAGAGCUGAUAAAAUACUGAAAUAGGAUGUCAUGUAUUUCCCAGUUUGCUUUGGCAUUAAAAACCCCAUUGUUUCUGAUAUCCCACUAUUAUUAUUAUUAUUUUUGCAUCUGAUUGGCUGACAGCUGUACAAGAGGGGGCACAAAAAUAAAAAAGCAGGCCCCUCUCAUUUCAAUACAAUUUGGUUUUAUUUCUCCAUUAAGACAUUACCUAUUAAACAAACGUCAAUUGCUAAAUCAUGUCUCACUCUCUCUCCUUCUGCCCUCUUCCUCAACAAUGGGAUAAUAAAGAAACAUAUAAAAACCUCAUUGGGGCUCUUUGAUUUUUAAAAAGCCUGCCCAGCUGAGUGGAUGCCAAGAAAUGCCAUGAGGGGAAAAGAAGAAGAAAGAAAGCCAAACCCCAACUCAUUUUUUAUAAGAGCCCUGAUUUCCCCCCAACUUUUCCCCAACUAACUGGGGUUUUUCUCCUAUUCCCGCAAGCCUCCUUUAUUUUCAGCAGUGUAUUGUUACAUGUAUAAAAAUGUGCCUACCAGAAAUAUCAUUUAGGCAUCUGUACAUCAUAUAGAAAAAAAAUACUGUAACACACUGACUAACUCAACAAAAUAAAACACCCUUAAAUUCCACCCCCCCAACUAUUAUACAUAUUAUGACAGUCAACCUGCUCAAGGAUAGCCUGAGAGAACAGACCCAUUGGUUAACUGCUUGGAGGAAGAAGCUGAAUGCCCUAUUUUAUUUUAUUUUAAGUGCUGGAAGUUUGGCUCACACUCCACAGGAUUAAUGACCCAGGACAGAAGGAAGGUAUUGAAUGCCCUAUUUGAGUUUUCCUCUGUACAAUGGCCUGGCUGGGCGAGUACAAAGCUCUGGAGGAGAAAGGAGCUUUCACAAUCUAUCCACGUGUGGACAGAUCCCUCCUAUUCGACUCAAGUAGUAUUCAGUGGCAAUGUGCUGUUGAAAAAGAUGGCUGCAUAAAAGGAAAGAGCUUCAACCAAGCAGGGUUGUGAAGUUCAUUAUCUGGAGGGCUCAUGGCAAGGGAGGAGCUUGUGAAGACUUUUCAGUAGGACUGUGAAGAAGGUCAGAAGAGGAGGGGAAAUUGGUAAGUCAGUCUGUAGCAUAACAGGUAAGGAUCUGAGCAAUUGGAGGAGAGUGAAAGAAGGUGGGCAGAGUGUGUGGGUUGGAUUCAAGCCCCUACUCAAAGUAGACCCAUUGAACUCAAUAAGCCCAUGUUAUCCUUGUCUCUUAACAUCAGUAGGCCUAUUCUGCACAGGACCAGCAUUGAAUACCAUGCCAGGAGCAUACAGGGUAAUAGUGGGAAGCUGGGGUGUGUGAGAAUUGAUGUGAAGGGGCAGCAGAGCAUGAUAGGUUUUAGGAGGAGCAGAUAAGUAGGACUGCUCAGGUGGAUUUACCUGGAAAGGUUGGAGGCAUGGACAGCUCCUCAUCCCAGUUUUCCAACCAAAUAUUAGUAUGCAAGUGCUACUCAUGUCACUGCAAUUUUGCAUAAAAUCCACAUUUGGGGGCCUGGCUUAUGCCACAGCUGCUAUUCCAUAGCUUGGGAACCCCAAGAAUCCUGCUAUCCAUUUGCCCACCUGUGUCUGCAUUUUCUAGGGGUCCUGCCAAUCCAAAUGGCCUCUAUCCACUCCACUGCCUUCCUACUACCAUCCAGUAAUCACUUGGAGAAUGCACAAUUUAGUUUUGGUGGCAAAAUAGUCUAGAGCUCCUGACAGUAUCAGUCAUCCUGAAACAUUCCUGUCACUUUGCAUAUAAGAGUGUUGCGCUGGCUGUUAAACCAGCAGUCAAUUGGGUCUUUCAUGACUCAAGUUGAGCCAGUGAUAGCCCAGUGAUGCAGUGUUAAUAGAACAUGAGUGCCACCUAGUGGGUACUUUUAAGCAUGCUUGCAUCUUCCUGGCUUUUAUUUCUCAUCUGCCAUGGUACUUGGAGCAGAAGGCUUUACAUUAUGAUUGCUGUCGGUGACAGUCAGCCUCAUAUAUAUCAUCUCAAGGCUUAGGAGUUCAUAUCAGAUGGGCAAUUUUGUGGACUGGGAAACUGCAGCCACCCAACAAUCUCUCACUGGGAACUAGAUGGAAUGAUAGCUACCUUUGUGCUAAGCAAGGGAUAAGUGAAAGGCCUGUGACCAGGACAGCCAGAGCAAAAAAACGAAAUAAUGCUUGGCUGGUAAAGAGCCCACUUGGCCCUCACAUUAGAAGCAAAUAGGGUUGUAUCCAGUGCUCAUUCUAUGCAGAGUAGCUCCACUGAAGUUAAUUGGGCUUAAGUUAGCCAUGUCCAUUAAUUUCAAUCGAUCUAUUCUGAGAAGAAAUAACACUGGAAACAAGUCAAAAUCCUCUGGAAGCAGCUGACAAAACUGACAAGGCCAGGGGAAGAAAAAUAUCAUUAGGACUCUAUCCCAGCAGCAUUGAUAGAACCUCUUGCAUGCAGAGAUGGCUUAAGAAAUGUUGGCGCUAGGGGCAGAGAAUCUAAAUGUUACCACCCCUCGUAGUAAAAAUACAGUACAGUGGGACCUCGGGUUAUAAACCCUUUGGGUUACAAAUGCUUCUGGUUACAAACUCCGCUAACCCGGAAGUAGUUGCUCCAGGUUGCAAACUUUGCCCCACAAUGAGAAUGAAAAUUGUGCGGCGGCGGCAGCAGGAGGCCCCAUUAGCGAAAGCGCACCUCAGGUUAAGAACGGUUUUGGGUUAAGAACGGACCUCCAGAACGAAUUAAGUUCAUAACCCGAGGUACCACUGUCUUAUAUUAUGUAGCACUUCAAUAUAAUAUUAGAAUAGAAUUAUAUUAAACAACAGUUUCUCCCUGCCUUUAAGGACCGUGUCUUUCAAAUAAGUUAAUAGGAGUAAUUUUGAGUCUAGCUGAACAGGGUGUUUCAACAUGCUUCUUAUAUUAGAUACCAUUUCCUGCUGGUAUUGUUUUUGCUUCAGGGCAGUUCCACAAAUAGUGAAUUAAAUAUGCUGUAACUGAGCUGCAUUUCCAACAGUCAUCAUUACUGGUAUCAUAAAUUCUAGCUAUUCUAAGUGGGGUUAAAUGCCACAUUGACCGUAAUUCCUCUGAAUGCCUAUAUAUUUCUAGGUGUCUCUUGAGAUAGUUACCCCAAUCACUGCUUCCCAUAACACAAUCUAUCUUGUCCCAUAUGAGUAAUCAUUCGAUAUAUAUGAGGUCUUUUCAUUUCCAUAUUCAUUUUUCAAAGUUAUCUGCCUAAAUCUAUAAAUUCUCAGCUGACUGUUUAAGAAGAAUGUGAAAAUAUCUAUAUCCACAUGAAUCCUGUUUUCCUUAAGCUGUCCCUCAUUUCAGCAAUAGGCUUUCACUUGAUUGUAAGAGGUCAGGAAAUAUCUCAGUUCCAGCUUUCCGUCAAUUAGAGAACAGGCUCGCAAUGCCAUUUUUGUUAAAACUGUGGAUGAAAUAAAGUGGAGGCAGCUGGGGAGACUGAUGGGCAAAGCAGGAGAGAUAAAGGAACUCAGAAAUGUUUCUUACUACUUUGAUGUUCAAAUUGAGAGAGAAGAAGAUCGAUCUCCAGAACAGUCUGCCAACCAAGGGAGCUGAACACACACCUUUUGAGCUUUGGCAUGGAAGUGUACCAAACAUAUCACACAAACCUGUGUUUGGCAGUAUUGCCUAUGCCUAUGUACCCAUGGAGAACAGGGACAAGUUAAGACUCCAGAGAGGAACAGGCAAUUAUGUUUGGAUAUGGUAUUGGAGGCAGAUAUUACAAAGUGAUGAACUUGAAUACUGGAAAGGUCAGCACAAGACAUGCGGUUCAUUUUGAUGAGCACAGGAAAGCUGACAAAAGAUAGAUUUUUCUGAGGAGUCAGAGGAAGAAACACAAGCCCACAAGUACUUUCCUGAAUUGAUGUCCAGAUCUGUUUUCUACUUCACACCACUUAGCACAAAUGAUGAGCAGCAAGGAGAAGCAGAGGAGUAGAGUCCAAGCAGCAGUGCUCCCACAGGGGAGGAGACUGACGAUGAGAUGCCUGCACUUGGCGAUGAGGAAGAUGAUGUGACUCCAGAGACAAGGUCAGGUGCUCAUUGAGACCCAAGAAAGCUAUUCCAACUCCGCAACUGCCCUCCAUCACAAGUCGGCACCACCCCAUGAAACCUUCCACCUGGGAAGAGAUGGAGCAGGUGGCAGCCGCUGAAGCCCGUCUAUGGAAGGAAGGUGCAGGGAGAUGGAUGCCCUGCACCAGAACCAAACCUGGACUUUAAUCAAGAUGCCUCCCAGGAAGAAGACAAUUGGAAGCAAGUGGGUAUGCAAGGUAAAGCAGGGUACAGAAUGGGAAGUUGAACGCUACAAAGCAAGACUUGUUGACAAAGGUUACUCGCAAAAGUAUGCAGAGGACUACAAUGAGGUUUUUGCAUCUGUAGUGAGAUGCACCAUUAGACUGCUUUUGAAGGUAGCAGCUUCUAAACACAUGGAGGUGAAACAUAUUAAAACUGGCCAUUUUCCUACGUUGGAAGACAGAGCUGUUUAUGUUACAUGACACGUCCUGCCCCCUUCGCAAGUACUGUAUUUUUUGCUCUAUGACUCACUUUUUCCCUCCCCAAAAGUAAGGGGAAAUUUGUGUGUGUCUUAUGGAGCGAAUACAGGCUGCGCAGCUAUCCCAGAAGCCAGAACAGCAAGAGGGAUCACUGCGCAGCGAUCCCUCUUGCUGUUCUGGCUUCUGGGAUUCAGAAUAUUUUUUUCUUGUUUUCCUCCUCCAAAAACUAGGUGCGUCUUAUGGUCUGGUGCGUCUUAUAGAGCGAAAAAUACAGUAGCUUGCUGCCUCUGGUAUGGUGAAGGACACUGUCCAAUCCCUGGUGCUGAAUUAAGACUCAGCCGCGGCUAGAGGAAAGUCGAGGGAUCUGAGUAACCCCAAAAUGUGGAUUUAAUAUUGUGUGGAAAUGUUUUAUUUUCUAUUUUCUAUUUUUUGUGUGGUUUAUUCUUUUAUACUUAUG